rnacentral:rRNA from 1 species
UACGUAGGGUGCAAGCGUUAUCCGGAAUUAUUGGGCGUAAAGAGCUCGUAGGCGGUUUGUCGCGUCUGCUGUGAAAACUGGAGGCUCAACCUCCAGCCUGCAGUGGGUACGGGCAGACUAGAGUGCGGUAGGGGAGAUUGGAAUUCCUGGUGUAGCGGUGGAAUGCGCAGAUAUCAGGAGGAACACCAAUGGCGAAGGCAGCUCGCUGGGCCAACACUGACGCUGAUGUGCGAAAGCUAGGGGAGCAAACGGG